GUUGACAUACGAACAACUUUUCUGUUUCACAAAAGGAUCUUUGUAGUGGAAAAAAAAUCACUAGAUUAUGACAAGGUUGUCACUAUGGUGCUGGUCGGGUGACGCCGUUGGGUUAGAGGACAUAUGGCGAACAAACCGCCAGCAAAUAAGAUCACAGCCAGCACAUUAACCCUGAUCACUGGAGCCAUCCUCAUGGAAAGAACGGUCCCUCUCCAACCAUGGAGGGCCUCAUCGGAUUGACCUUUUCACCUUGGCACCGCCUCCUUCUCGACAGAACUUCAGCCCCAUUUCAACACAGAACCAAUGCAUGCUCAACCUCCUGCCAUUCAGUUACUCACUCAACUCUUGCCAGGCAUGACAGAAUGUUGACAAGCCAUGGGGGUCCAACUGCACACUUAGAAACCUGCCCCUACUGGGUACCAGCCAUUCUUUAAACUGGAUGCCAUCACUACACUCACUACAUCAAGAAAUAUAAUUGUGGAAAUGCAUGGCCAACCAACCCCCCACCAGCUAUUACUAGACUGCUUCCCCGACCUCCUGCUGAGACUAUCGACCCUUGUGGAAGAACAUAUAGACCUCAGCGAUAUUAUAAUAG